rnacentral:rRNA from 1 species
AGCAGCAGCCACGGGAAUACGAAGGGUGCAAGCGUUACUCGGAAUUACUGGGCGUAAAGCGUGCGUAGGUGGUGGUUUAAGUCCGUUGUGAAAGCCCUGGGCUCAACCUGGGAAUUGCAGUGGAUACUGGGUCACUAGAGUGUGGUAGAGGAUAGUGGAAUUUCCGGUGUAGCAGUGAAAUGCGUAGAGAUCGGAAGGAACAUCUGUGGCGAAGGCGACUAUCUGGGCCAACACUGACACUGAGGCACGAAAGCGUGGGGAGCAAACAGGAUUAGAUACCCCCGUAGUCCCUGUCUCUUAUAC